UGCCAGCAGCCGCGGUAAUACGGAGGGUGCAAGCGUUGUUCGGAAUUACUGGGCGUAAAGGGCGCGUAGGCGGCAAUUUAAGCUAAGGGUGAAAAGCCAGGGCUCAACCUUGGUCCUGCUCUUAGAACUGGAUAGCUAGAGAGAAUCAGAGGCAGAUGGAAUUCCUGGUGUAGAGGUGAAAUUCGUAGAUAUCAGGAGGAACAUCGGAGGCGAAGGCGAUCUGCUGGGAUUGCUCUGACGCUGAGGCGCGAAAGCAUGGUUAGCAAACAGGAUUAGAUA
rnacentral:rRNA from 1 species